GACGAACGCUGGCGGCGUGCCUAAUACAUGCAAGUAGAACGCUGAAGAGAGGAGCUUGCUCUUCUUGGAUGAGUUGCGAACGGGUGAGUAACGCGUAGGUAACCUGCCUGGUAGCGGGGGAUAACUAUUGGAAACGAUAGCUAAUACCGCAUAAAAUUGAUUAUUGCAUGAUAAUUAAUUGAAAGAUGCAACUGCAUCACUACCAGAUGGACCUGCGUUGUAUUAGCUAGUUGGUGAGGUAACGGCUCACCAAGGCGACGAUACAUAGCCGACCUGAGAGGGUGAUCGGCCACACUGGGACUGAGACACGGCCCAGACUCCUACGGGAGGCAGCAGUAGGGAAUCUUCGGCCAUGGGGGGAAACCUGACCGAACAACGCCGCGGGAGUGAAGAAGGUUUUCGGAUCGUAAAGCUCUGUUGUAAGAGAAGAACGGGUGUGAGAGUGGAAAGUUCACACUGUGACGGUAUCUUACCAGAAAGGGACGGCUAACUACGUG
rnacentral:rRNA from 1 species